GAUGAAGAACUAGCGAAAUGCGAUAAGUAGUGUGAAUUGCAGAAUUCAGUGAAUCAUCGAAUCUUUGAACGCACAUUGCGCCCCUUGGUAUCCCGAGGGGCAUGCCUGUUCGAGCGUCAUUUCACCACUCAAGCCUGGCUUGGUGUUGGGCGACGUCCUCUUUGGGGACGCGCCUCGAAACGCUCGGCGGCGUGGCACCGGCUUUAAGCGUAGCAGAAUCUUUCGCUUUGGAAGUCGGGGCCCCGUCUGCCGGAAGACCUGCUCGCAAGGUUGACCUCGGAUCAGGCAGGGAUACCCGCUGAACUUAAGCAUAUCAAUAAGCGGAGGA
rnacentral:misc_RNA from 1 species